AGCACUGAUGGAGUAGUCUCCUGGCAGUCAUUCCCUAACUUGCUGGGGAGCCAAGGCCACUGUGGGGGACCACCAGUGCUUUGAAGAGAGAACCCUGAGGUC